UUUUUUUUUUUUUUUUUUUUUUUUUUCAUGCUUUGUGGCAGCUUUACGGUGUGUUCACACUGAACGCGAUAGAGGCGGCCAGAGCGUCAGGUUUACAUGUAAAGUCAAUGGAAAGAGCGCGAUGACACGCGAUUGCGCGUCCAGCGAAAAUUCGGAGGCAGAUUUGCGUCGCGAAAACGCCUGAAACGCGCGUCAGUGUACCGCGUCUGGCGCGUUUGACUCGCGAAAAAAACCACGCGCGUGAAUUUUUGUGUUGCAUUUUGUGCAUACGCGUGUUUCGCCUCUACCGCUCGAGUUGGAAAAUCUGAACUCCAGCGUCAAAUCGCGCCGCGACAACCAAUCAGGAGCCUGGUGAUGUGGCUGUGACCUAGGUCAAAGGGGCAGAUCCAGCCAAAGCCCUUCAUUCUUUAAUGGAGGGAAGGCUAAUCAACGCCGUAGCAAACAACCCGGAGCUGUACGACACCAGCUGCUUUGUGUACCGAGACAGGAAUAUAAAGGACCGAGCUUGGAGGAAGAAAUGUGAAGAGAUCGGGCAACCUGAACCAACUGAUUCUGCAGCAGAGCAUCCCCUGUUGCUUCUCCUUGCUCCCCAGCUCCUGCUGCUGCACCCACAGGCCCAGAGAGGAGGACAGCUCCGAGGCAGAUGAGGGACUGGUCCCAGGACGGUCCAUCGGCGGUGGAGCUGGCCAUCCUGGUGUCCCUGAAGAGGCCACGCCAGUCUCCAAUGGAGCAUUUCCUCCUCAGCCUUGUUCCUGCUCUGGAGAGCAGCUGGGUCCUUUUUAUUCCUGUCUCUCUGUUAAUACUUAUAUUCUAUAUAUUUAUGUUUAAUGUUUUUCUGUUUGAGAAUUUUAAUAUUAUUUCAAAUAAAUUUUUAUAAUGACUAAUGUCUCAGUUCUACUACACAGCAAAUGUUGGCACACGACUUGACACAUGUAGAAUUUAUUUCAUAUUAUACUAAUGACAGAAUAUACUAAUACAGUGGGAUGCAAAAGUUUGGGCAACCUUGUUAAUAGCCAUUAUUUUCCUGUAUAAAUCGUUGGUUGUUACAAUAAAAAAUGUCAGUUAAAUAUAUCAUACAGGAGACACACACAGUGAUAUUUGAGAAGUGAAAAGAAGUUUACUGGAUUUACAAAAAGUGUGCAAUAAUUGUUUAAACAAAAUCAAGCAGGUGCAUAAAUUUGGGCACCACAAAAAAAGAAAUGGAAUAAAUAUUUCGUGUAUAUCAAUGUGUGUGUCUCCUAUGUGAUAUAUGGGGUGCCUUUGUCUGGACGUGUUUCCCAUCCAGAGCUCCACAGCAGAGAGGAAAGUUCCAGCACUCCUGGAAUCCCUCUGUGAUGGACCGCCAGUCUCCAGGUGAAGGCACAGCCAUGAAGUCGUCCACUAGACAGUCCCAGAUGGCCGUCGCUACCUGGGGGGUGAUCUGGCACACCGUGGACACACCGACUCUAAAACUGAACGCAAUGGUCCUG
ensembl:lncRNA